GCAGGCGUGGUCUAGUCUGGUAUGACUAGGGGUUUCCAACCCCUCAACCUGGGUUCGAAUCCCGGCGCCUGCACCA
rnacentral:tRNA from 1 species